rnacentral:snoRNA from 1 species
CAGCUAGCCAAUUAAUCUGUUUAUCUUAAUGUAUUUCUGCAGAAAUAUAGAAAUAGCUGACAACAAUGAAGCCAUUUUAUGAGCCUUAAGGAAUGGCUACAAUA